rnacentral:hammerhead_ribozyme from 1 species
AUCCAUCAGAUGAGUCCCGAUUAGGACGAAACGCGAGUCCUAGAU